AAUACAUAUAACUGAUAAGGCAUAGUAAAAUAUGUGGCUGCAACAUUGCCAUCUGUCAUAAUUCAUCCAUAGAAUUAUUAGGCUAAAGAUGUGAAGGAGGCAGUUAAAAACCCUGUAAUACUUGAAACAGAAACGCAAGUAUAACAUAACCAAGCAUAUUUGUAACAGAAUUGCACUUUUGCAGCUAUAUUUUGACAGUAAGUCAAGUCCAAAAUCCAUAUUAGUGGAGCAGUGGU
rnacentral:misc_RNA from 1 species